CAGGCUCCUCUGUCUGUGGGCAAGAAUACUGGGUGAUUUGCCAUUUCCUCCUCCAGGGGAUCUUCCUGACUCAGGGACUGAACCCAUGUCUCUUAUGUCUCUGCACCAGCAGACGGAUUCUUUACGGCUAGUUCCACCUGGGGAGCCUGCUUACAUUCUGUUGGUGAGUGGAUAUGAGACGACGGAGAAGAUGUGAUUUCUGUCCUCAAGGAGCAGAUAGUGACAAUGGGGGAGGAGUGGUGUCAAAAAGGUGGAGGCCACAGCAUCUGAUGCUGCAGGAAGGACCUAAAAUGUUUGCAGAGACUAGGACACACUCUGGGACAAGGCCCAACGAUUUUGUUCAAUCCUACAUUGCUUCUUCAUACAGGCUGUGGAAAAGGCAGAAAGAGAAGGAAGAGAGAUUGGAUAAGUUAUUAAAAAAAUCUACAUGAGUUGGAGCCCUCUGUUCACCCACUCUGCCCGUGAACACUUUGUGAGUUAGAGAUGGAAUUCAGAAACCCAUUGAUGCGUAUGUGGGAAGAACAUUCUGCUGAUCAAGUGGGUAGGCAGGGGACAUGGCCUCUGCUACCCAGUCCAUCACAGCAAUAGAAGAGUUCUUUGUAAGCCCUUCAACCUUCACAUUCUCGAAGUCUUGCUCCCUUUGUUCAUAGAAGCUCCAGCAGAAGAAUGUUUCUAGCGAAGGAGCAUUAGUGAUAACCAAAAAGGGCAGUGGGAACCAAAGGGAGUUGAACCUUCAUUUCUGUGAACCACCUACACUUGCUGUUGUUUAUACAGUGAACUAUUGACUGGGAUGAAUGUUUCCAUGAAAGGCCAUUCUUGUAAAAUCUCAUCAGAAUUUAAACCCUUCAGAGGCUGACCCACCUGCAUCUCACUGCUUAGUUUUGGGUUCCUUCUUGACAGUUAAUUACAAGAAGCCUGAACUGCUGAACCAUGGGCCUGGCUGACCAGUUCAAAUUCUCCAACAAAAUAAAUUUAGCUUCACUUCAUUGGAAUUAAAAGGUUGAAGCUUUCAUCAAACAACUGGACUCUGCCCCCUGCUUUGAAAACUGAACCAUGUCUUGAGACAUGAUUUUUGCUUUUUUCUUUCUCCAAUACCCAGUUGCUGGAAUAGUGAUAGAGAAACAGAAGACAUUCAAGUGAAAAGAAAAUCAUACUCUAAUUAUUGGAGAUGCUGUUCUGAAGUUCCCCUUUCAAUAAAAAUGCACAGCCAGUAUUUCUUCAUGGGAAAUGAGCAAAGUUUGAGACGGGUCAGGUGUUUGGGUCUGUAAUUUGCACUGGGCAUUUUCUCCUCUCACAGGCCUAGAGGUUAGAAGCAGCAGAAAUACAAUGAGCAGGCCCUGCCGUUCUUUUCAGGUGCUCAGCUCUCCCUGGGAUCCUAAUUACAGACUCUUUGCAUGAAGAAUUCUUUUUGAAGGUAAUGAGAGUGCUAUAUCCAGAGGAUGCUAAUAAAAGUAGGUUGAGAAAUCUGUUUCGAGGCUGUCUUACUUUUCAGGUCUUAUCUUUCAGGGGACAGAGAAGACACAUUUAUUAUUAAGGACCUGAUAUAUGUCAGCCUUUGGGUUUAGUGUUUUCUAUUUGAGACCUGAAUUCCUCCAGUCCUCUGAUUGCAAGAGAAUAAAUGAGGUCACAUUACUGUAUAAGUGAAAGUUGAACAGCCUUUUACAUUAUGAAUCUGUACAAAGUAUGGCCCAUUUAAAUUUUUUUUUUAAAUUUUGCCUGUGCCACACAGCAUGUGGGGUAUUGGUUCCCUACCCAGGAGUCAAACCACCACCCCUGCAUUGGAAGCAUGGAGUUUUAUCCACUGGACCAUCAGGGAAGUUCCCCCUUCCUUUUUUCUGGCACAUUUUAAAGGCUUCUUCUCCUCCGGUAUCUAUGAGGAGUCCUAAGAGGUGUUUCUCAAGUUCUCAGUGAUGAUCAUGCUCUCAGAGCUGUAUAUUAUGUACGGUAUACUAAGACUAAUCUGAAGGUAAAACUUUGGUAUUUUCCCACCACAGCAUUUGCCAUAGGCUGAAUGCUUGUCCCCUCCCCGGUCCCCCAUGUGUGUGAGGAAACCUAACCUGCAGCGUAAUGGUAUUAGGAGAUGGGGCCUUUGGGAGGGAUUAGGGUCCUUAUGAAAGGAAGUUCAGGGUGCUCCCUUGCAACUUCUGCCCUCUGAGGAUACGGCAGGAAGACUCUCAUCCAGGAAGUGGGUCCCAGUAAUUAUGUCAUCCCAUGGUUGAUUGAUCUUGACUUCCCCAACCUUCAGAAGUCGAGAGAAAUAAACUUUUGUUGUUUAUAAGCCACACAGCCUAUAGUAGUUUUUACAGUAGCACUAACAAAGACAUUGUCUACAUGUAUUAGAAAGGCAAAGAGACAGAGAGAGAGAGAAAGAGAGAGAGAGUUAUUGAAGAAGCAUUAUAUCAUCAGGCAGCACAUAUUUGGUAUACCAUUCAAAUUUUGCAUUCUAAGUAUGAACAUUUUUAUACUUCAUCUGGUAACAACUGUUUCAUUACCAAAGUUGAUUAAACAUCCUCCUUCUUCAUAAUGGAGCUCCGAUUCUGAACUGUAGCUUGGCAGAAACUGUAUUUCUUUCUUUUUUUUUCUUCUUUCUUUGAUUAUUUUUUAGGCUUUAUAUAUGUAACUGUGAGAAUUUGUCAUUCUCAUAGAAUCUAUACUUUCAGAUGCUUUGCUCCCAGAGGAUUCUGCCAAGAUAUCCAUAGAAGAAAACAGAGAUAUAAAGAUCUGAAAACUCAUUGAUAAAUGUUUUCCCUAUGGCCUAAGGCCUAAAUCUCAGUAAUAACAAUAAUCACAUUUAAGGGAUAGAGCAAUCUUCCUUGUAAAAUCAGUAACUCUCAUUUCAGUGGACAGGAAUGUUCUCUGUCCUUGAUACAUCUCAUUUCUUUUCAUUUUGGUGAACAAUUAUGGCAUUCCAUCUUUCUGACUGAAAGUAACUUGAAUGAAAAAAAAUAGCAUUAAACAUUAGAGAAAAAGUACCUCAGAAAUUAAUCAAAAACAUGACUUAUUUGAGAAAAAAUAUUUUAAGUAAAAUACUUUUAUUAUUUCUGAAUAAAGUAGUAUGUCCCCAAAUUUAUUUAAAACAAAUAAUUUAUCAUGACUAAAAUUCAUUCAAAUCAACUCAUUACAUAUUGCUUGAAUAAUUACAAUAUGGAAGACACUAGGGUUCCUGCUUCAAGAAAUAAGAAAGUAAACCAGUAUGCAGAAUUUCCAUAAUUUUUCUGUUAUUGAAAGUGAUGUGGUCCAAUGCACAAACUUGUGUAGGAAGUGCAUUUUUAUAAAAAUGAUAAAAAGCAAAUUGGUCAAAAUUCUGUGAAAACAUCUAAGAUUAAUGAUAAUUUCCUAUUUAUUUAUGCAUUGUGAGAAAAUUCUGUAUUUUUCAAAAGUGAUUAAUGUCAUAGAAGGUGAGUGUUUAUUCAAAACAGAAGACUAGUUUAGAAAACAAACUGCGAUUAGAUAUGAAUUUGUGCUGCUAUAUAUAAAAUAGAUAACCAACAAGGACCUACUGUAUAGCAUAGGGAACUCUACUCAAUAUUAUGAUAAACCUAUAUGGGUAAAGAA